rnacentral:rRNA from 1 species
GACGAACGCUGGCGGCGUGCUUAACACAUGCAAGUCGAACGGAAAGGGCCUGCUUUUGUUGGGUGCUCGAGUGGCGAACGGGUGAGUAACACGUGAGUAACCUGCCCUUGACUUUGGGAUAACUUCAGGAAACUGGGGCUAAUACCGGAUAGGAGCUCCUGCUGCAUGGUGUGGGUUGGAAAGUUUCGGCGGUUGGGGAUGUACUCGCGGCUUAUCAGCUUGUUGGUGGGGUAGUGGCUUACCAAGGCUUUGACGGGUAGCCGGCCUGAGAGGGUGACCGGCCACAUUGGGACUGAGAUACGGCCCAGACUCCUACGGGAGGAAGCAGUGGGGAAUAUUGCACAAUGGGCGGAAGCCUGAUGCAGCAACGCCGCGUGCGGGAUGACGGCCUUCGGGUUGUAAACCGCUUUCGCCUGUGACGAAGCGUGAGUGACGGUAAUGGGUAAAGAAGCACCGGCUAACUACGUG